rnacentral:rRNA from 1 species
UACACUCCUACGGGAGGCAGCAGUGGGGAAUAUUGCACAAUGGGCGCAAGCCUGAUGCAGCCAUGCCGCGUGUAUGAAGAAGGCCUUCGGGUUGUAAAGUACUUUCAGCGGGGAGGAAGGCAAUACGGUUAAUAACCGUGUUGAUUGACGUUACCCGCAGAAGAAGCACCGGCUAACUCCGUGCCAGCAGCCGCGGUAAUACGGAGGGUGCAAGCGUUAAUCGGAAUUACUGGGCGUAAAGCGCACGCAGGCGGUCUGUCAAGUCGGAUGUGAAAUCCCCGGGCUCAACCUGGGAACUGCAUUCGAAACUGGCAGGCUUGAGUCUUGUAGAGGGGGGUAGAAUUCCAGGUGUAGCGGUGAAAUGCGUAGAGAUCUGGAGGAAUACCGGUGGCGAAGGCGGCCCCCUGGACAAAGACUGACGCUCAGGUGCGAAAGCGUGGGGAGCAAACAGGAUUAGAUACCCUAGUAGUCCCAUG